rnacentral:rRNA from 1 species
AUUGAACGCUGGCGGCAGGCCUAACACAUGCAAGUCGAGCGAGCGGCGGACGGGUGAGUAAUGUAUGGGGACUGCCCGAUAGAGGGGGAUAACUACUGGAAACGGUGGCUAAUACCGCAUACUAUCGGAUAACCCAUAUGGGAUUAUCUAGUAGGUGGGGUAAAGGCUCACCUAGGCGACGAUCUCUAGCUGGUCUGAGAGGAUGAUCAGCACAAUGGGGACGAGUAAACGGCCCAGCCUCCUACGGAGCCACCAGUGGGGAAUAUUGCACAAGGGGCGCAAGCCUGAUGCAGCCAUGCCGCGUGGAUGAAGAAGGCCUUAGGGUUGUAAAGUACGUUCAGCGGGGAGGCGUUACCCGAAGAAGAAGCCACGGCUAACUACGUGCCAGCAGCCGCGGUAAUAC